GGUAAUGAUGUAUGCCCAAGCAUACGAUAUGCCUGAUGUUUAGCGCUUUAUCUAUCUCCUCGAAGUUAUUAAUGACACUUGCUGAGUCAGGCGACAAAGCGAGACGCAGGCAACGAGGUGACGAGAUCUUCAAAGUUUAAUAUCCACACGAGAGUCGUUUCUGGUCGACCAGUCGCGAAGUCCUACUACUAGUACUACUCAUAGGCUUCUUGUUGAGUAUACAUUCGUUUCGCUAUAUUAUUGAACAAUUUCGUUCCCAAUAUCUUUACAAGUGUCUUCAUGAGUGCAACUUUAUUUCGAACGGGUGUCAGAGAUAAAUAAUUGGAUCAUAAAAGGAAUUUGAAAAUCAAUUUAGAAAAGACUGAAGUUUUGUGAAGAGAUUAUCUAAUUAAUGAUAUCGCCGGCAUUUGCGUAACCCGAUGUGCACCACAGGGAGGUUGCUCGGUCGGAUUUUGCACAAAUUUCGGCAUGUCAGCACCUGCAGUUGAUUCAGAAGACUAUAAAAUGAUGAAUUGCCUAACGCAAAUGUGGACUGAUUUUGCUAAAACAGGAAAUCCAACGCCUGCUACAAAUAUGUGGGUACCGGUAACUGAUUCGCAACAAGGAAAGUAUAAUUACCUAAAUAUUGAUAAAAACUCGGAAAUGAAGGUCUUCUGUAAAGGAGAAGAAAGAUGGGAUUGGGAAUAGAAGAAGAAUAAGGUACGACGCUAGAACUUUACCUACAUCAAAAUUGAAUUUUUCUCGAUAUCUUUUGCAUAUGUAUAAUAAAUAUUUCUUCGUUAUUUUUCAAAGAUAUGUUUUUGAAUUAACGGUAUGUAGGCACUAUUGUUAUUCUCCUUAAGUUCAAAAUAGGUUUUAGUUAACGAAAAUAUAAGGAUUAAUAGUUUUCGAAUUAUGAUAUAUAAGGAACAAAAAGUUUUUCAUGAAUUAAAACUUAAGAAGUACUAGUAAAUCAUCCAACUUUAUUUGUCGAUGAAUGUUAUAUCAAUGUACAAAUGUAACUUCAAUUGAACAUAGACUCCAAAUCCUCGUUAAAAUUAAUUAACUAAACCAAAUAACUAAAGCAAAUAAAAUUUAAAAAAAUAUAUUGUUAUACAUUAUUGUAUUAAAUUUUGUGUUUUUUUCUGUUGUUAGUAUACAUAAUAGGGUACAGCGGGGUAAUUUGUACAGUAGAGUAAUUUGGAUAAUAGUAAGCAUUUCAUAUCAAUAGUAAGAAUUUCAGAAAAAUAAAAGAUUUUAUGAUAUCAAACAUAUUAACGUAGAAGCUGUAUGCGAACUAUCACGGAUGAUGGUGUGUAAUAAUUUCUUUUUACAAUAUCCAAUUACAUGCAAACUGCGCACCGCAUGUUUGUCGCGUACUAAUGUGUUAGUAUAAAUUAUUCCUCUUUGCUCUCUCUCUCUCUUUCUAAGGUUACAGUAUUAUAAUCUCCGACGUUAUUACGCGAAUUGUCAUUAAUAAAGUGUGUGAUACGGUUAUAAAUAUCUGUUCCAACAACACAUCCGCACAUUCCAAAGAUCAGUUCUUACUCUUAAGCACAUAUAGAAUUGUCUCUUGACAAUCAAGAGAAAUGCAGAAAAAUAGAUGGUAUUAAGCUGCGCACAUAUAUAUCGUAGCCGUGCGAUGUACUUAAUCAAGUGUACAGUACUUUUCAUCUCGUUCCAUGAAACGAAAUCCUCUCUAUCCUUCAAAAGGCCAUCCCCUCAAACGUACACUACCGCCGAUCAUCAAUCCAUCUGAAUAUAUACAUAAGUGCAUCAGAUACCUAAUAUAUUAAUAUCAAGAAUAUGUAUAUCAUUCUUUAAUUGUGAAUUAUAAGGAAUUUUACGUACCA